rnacentral:rRNA from 1 species
GAGAGACUCGGCGAAAUUGUAGUGGCGGUGAAGAUGCCGCCUACCCGCACCAAGACGAAAAGACCCCGGAACCUUUACUGCAGUCUGGUAUUGAAUUUGGGUGCUGUUUGUGUAGGAUAGGUGGGAGGCUGUGAAGGGGUCGCGCUAGCGAUUCCAGAGCCAUCGGUGAAAUACCACCCUUAUAGUUCUUAGAUUCUAAUUCCGAAUCCCUUGAAUCAGGGCGCAAGACAGUGCCAGAUGGGCAGUUUGCUUGGGGCGAGUCCCUUCUAAAAUGUAACGAAGGGGUCCAAAGGUCUCCUCAAGACGGUUGGCAAUCGUCUGUAGAGUGCAUAGGCAUAAGGAGGCUUAACUGCGAGUCCGACAGGACGAGCAGAUACGAAAGUAGGGCUAAGUGAUCCGGCGGUAGAUUAUGGGAUUGCCGUCGCUCAACGGACAAUAGGUACUCCGGGGAUAACAGGCUGAUAGCGUUCGAGAGUUCAUAUCGACAACGCUGUUUGGCACCUCGAUGUCGGCUCAUCUUAUCCUGGGGCUGAACAAGGUCCCAAGGGUCCGGCUGUUCGCCGGUUAAAAAGGUACGCGAGCUGGGUUUAGAACGUCGUGAGACAGUUCGGUCUCUAUCUGGUGUGGGCGUUCGAUACUUGAAGGGGAAAACUCCCUAGUACGAGAGGACCGGGAGUUACAGACCUCUGGUGUUCCAGUUAUCCUGCCAAGGGUAAUGGCUGGGUAGCCACGUCUGGGAGGGAUAAGCGCUGAAAGCAUCUAAGUGCGAAGCCAACCUCAAGAUAAGGUAUCGUUUUCACUUCGGUGAAUAAAGGCUCCUCGUAGACUACGAGGUUGAUAGGUUGCAUGUGUAAGGGCAGUAAUGUCCUCAGCUAAGCAAUACUAAUUGGCCGAAUGCUUGACCUU